rnacentral:rRNA from 1 species
CAGGCCUAACACAUGCAAGUCGAACGAGGACUAGGUGCUUGCACCUGGAGCCGAGUGGCGGACGGGUGAGUAACACGUGACCAACCUGCCGUCGGGUGGGGGACAACCUGGGGAAACCCGGGCUAAUACCGCAUAACGUCCGCGUCCCGCAUGGGAUGCGGACCAAAGAGGGCCUCUGCUUGCACGCUCUCACCAGGCGAGGGGGUCGCGGCGUAUCAGCUUGUUGGUGAGGUAACGGCUCACCAAGGCGAUGACGCGUAGUGGGUCUGAGAGGACGACCCGCCACAUUGGGACUGAGAUACGGCCCAGACUCCUACGGGAGGCAGCAGUAGGGAAUAUUGCGCAAUGGCCGCAAGGCUGACGCAGCGACGCCGCGUGUGGGAGGGAGCCCUUCGGGGUGUAAACCACUGUCAGGGGGGAAGAACUCCGUGGAUGCGAACAGCAUUCACGGUUGACGGUACCCCCAGAGGAAGCGCCGGCUAACUCCGUGCCAGCAGCCGCGGUAAGACGGAGGGCGCAAGCGUUGUUCGGAAUCACUGGGCGUAAAGCGCUCGCAGGCGGUCCCUUA